AUUGAACGUUGGCGGAAUGCUUUACACAUGCAAGUCGAACGGCAGCACGGACUUCGGUCUGGUGGCGAGUGGCGAACGGGUGAGUAAUGUAUCGGAACGUGCCCAGUCGUGGGGGAUAACGUAGUGAAAAUUACGCUAAUACCGCAUACGAUCUAUGGCUGAAAGCGGGGGAUCGCACGACCUCGCGCGAUUGGAGCGGCCGAUAUCAGAUUAGGUAGUUGGUGGGGUAAAGGCCCACCAAGCCAACGAUCUGUAGCUGGUCUGAGAGGACGACCAGCCACACUGGAACUGAGACACGGUCCAGACUCCUACGGGAGGCAGCAGUGGGGAAUUUUGGACAAUGGGCGAAAGCCUGAUCCAGCCAUUCCGCGUGCAGGAUGAAGGCCCUCGGGUUGUAAACUGCUUUUGUACAGAACGAAAAGGUUUCUACUAAUACUAGGAGCUCAUGACGGUACUGUAAGAAUAAGCACCGGCUAACUACGUGCCAGCCGCCGCCGUAA
rnacentral:rRNA from 1 species